rnacentral:lncRNA from 1 species
CUAAGCACAUUGGUGAGGCCGGAACAAAGUAGCAAGAGUGAGUCACAAAUGAUACAGUUGAAGCUGGUCCACCAAGGUUCAUGAAGGUGAGGCGGAGGAGUUGGAGGUGAUAGGAGAAGUCAGAGUGAGCUGCUUUCAGAGGGCCUGAGCAGGGGGAAUAUACGUUUUAGCAAAGGGGAGCAGGAUGGCGAGAAACCAGAAACAAAAAGACCCCAAAGAUGUCCCCACAGGAUUGGCUUUCCUUAUGUGGCCUUCCUAUUCAGUUAGCUCAGAUCACCGUCUGAUUGCCCCACCUGUGCUCUCCUUGGCAUCUCCCACUCACCUCACGCUUCUGACGUGGGUGCUGCCUGCUCAUUGCCAGCACAGAGAGAGGAGAAACAACUUCAUCCUGGCCUUCUACCCAGCCUGAAGCUGCAUGUGGCAUGAGGGUCCGUGUCCUAGCCCUUGACUGCUCCCACGAGAAAAGAGAUGCAAAAUCAUAUUAAAUCAUCAUGUUAAAUUGGUGUAUCAAAUGCAGGACCGGUCAGUAAGCAGCUGAGGGAUCUCUGUCCAUGGCCCCGUAGUUGGCCCUGUGCUGCUAUGAGGAUGAAGGAGGCAGGGGCCCUGAAGCCCCUAGGAAUUUUAUUUGCUGUUUGGAGGCAUCAAGUUCUUAAUAAAAGUAGCAUCAACGCAGAAGACCUGGGUUCAUGUCACAGCUGAGCUCCUGCUCGCUGAGUCACCUGGGGUAGCCCACGGAGUCCUCUAAGCCUCAAUUUCUUCAGCUGCAAGUGGUCCUGAUGGCUGGUUUUGGAUCAAACAAUGCAGUGCAUGUGAAAAAGAGAUGAUAGGCUUUAAAAAGAGUUCUUCCUUCCACAGGUAUCUAUUGGGGGCCUUUUACUGUGCAAAUGCUUAGGAUCUAAAGAUACGAGUAACAGGCCAGACUCCUACCCUCAGGAAGUUCCUCCAGUGGCUGUUAUUAUUGAGGAUAGUUGAAUAAACGGGGCCACUCACAAGAAGCAAAUGGAGAGCUUUGUCAGAUUAUGGAAGAUUGUAUUUCCAAAGAUAGCAGCCCCCCACCCCACCCCAUGCUCUUCUUGUCACGUGACAGACUCCAGGGUGGAGUUAUGUUCCCCCCCCCUUGAAUCUGAGUGGGGCUGUGACUGCUGUGACCAAUGGGGUAUGAGGAAAGCAGUGUAGAUCAUCAAAAGGUGAGGUCAUAAAAAGAAUAUAGUUCAUGCCUGGUUCUCUCUCAGUUACCCAGCCAUCAUGCAAGGGGGUCCAAUAUAGACCCCAAGGAGAGGAACUGAGGCCCCCAGCCAAUAGCCAGCAUCCACUGCCAGACAUGGGAGUGAAGGAUCAUGCAAACAAUUCCAGUUCCUAGCUUUCGAGCCUUCCAGGUGUGACCCCAGACAU